rnacentral:lncRNA from 10 species
GGGCUUCCCUGGCUCUGCCUCACUCUCUGGUGGCCUCAGGAGGGGUCAGAGCCUCGCUGAGCCUCUGUAACCUCCAGGAGAAGCCGGCUGCCCUGGGCGUGAAGAUACACAAGCUCUGAUAAACAUAGUACAGCCAGUGUAUAUAUAGACCCUCCCACCUGGUUUCCAAAAGGAUUUGCAACAGCUUUCACAAGAGGCAAAGAAAUGAGCAUUGAGAGUGAGCCAGGGUUUACACAUGGGCCCCUCACGUCACAGGCCUGGGGAACUAGAACAGGGAAAAGAAGAUGGAACCCAGAUCCCUCCAGGAAUCGCGUCUGUAUGGGAGUGAGCUCCCCAUCAGGGCAGAGUCCUCAGCCAGCACAACGCGCCUAUCGGCUCAGUAUCGGCUCGCUCCUGGAAAGCCUUCCCAGAGCAGACCCCCGGAAUAAACGGAAUGGCAGCACUGUCCCCAGACCACCUCCCGCACAGCCCUGCUGCCUGCUGCCUGCGCUGGGCCUUGCGGCAGCCUUCCUGCACCUGCCCUGUCUCCUGUGAGCAAGGCCGGCUCCUCCUGGUCUUGCGGGGGAGGCGGCCAGUGGGCAAGAAUGAAAAUGAAUAAAUGUGAAGAAAGUGCGGCAGGACAAGUGUGGUCAGGGAGGCAUCUGAGCAGACCCCAAAGCGGGAGCACAUCCGGGGAAGAGCGUUCCGGGAGGAGAACAAGACAGCUCCUGCAGAGGCCCUGCACCGCCAGGCUCGGGGUGAAGCGCAGGGAGCCAGGCAC